UUGUCCUCUUUUCUCUCAUUUGCA
rnacentral:miRNA from 1 species